AUUGAACGCUGGCGGCAUGCUUUACACAUGCAAGUCGAACGGUAACAGGCCUUCGUGUGCUGUCUAGUGGCGAACGGGUGCGUAGUGCAUCGGAACGUGCCCAGAGGUUGGGGAUAACGCAGCGAAAGCUGUGCUAAUACCGCAUGUGAUCUGAUGUUGUAAGCGGGGGACCUAGCAGCAAUGUUUGGCCUCUCGCCUCUGUAGCGGCCGAUGUCAGCUUAGGUAGUUGGUGGGGUAAAGUCCUACCAAGCCGACGAUCUAUAGCUGAUCUGAGAGGGUGAAGGGCCACAAUGGAAAUGAGACACGGGCAAGACGCAUAAGGGAGGGAGAAGUAGGGAAGCUUGAGAAAGGGGCGAAAGCAUGAAGGAGCAAAGACGCGUGAGGGAUGAAGGGCUUCGGAUAGUAAAACUCUGUUAUAAGGGAAGAACAUAGGUGUAAGGAACAGUGCAAAUCUGGACGGGACCUAAUCAGAAAGCAACGGCUAAAUACGUG
rnacentral:rRNA from 1 species